UCCUUGUGGUCAUAAGCUUCAAGGGCAGCUGACUCCAUCUUUAGUUGUAAAUGAUGUUGUCCUAACUCUACACCUGGAACUGCUGCAACCACCUUGCUUCCAGUGUGAGAAUGAAGACAGUGCUAAGGAUGGUAAAAAAGAGAGAUAACAAGAGCCUAAUCCUUGAGGACAUCCUUGAAUCACAGCGUCAACCAACUCUGUCAUCUGUCCUACCUCUGGACAUCCUGGUAGGAUUCAGUCAGAAGAAAAGGAGAGGACACCUGGAAUACAGAAGAAGCUUGAGAAAGGGACUUGAGCAUCUGCAGAUUUUGGCAUCCGAGGGAGGUCCUGAAACCAGUCCCCUACAGACACCAAGGGAUGACUGUAUAUGCUUUCAUUUUCUUGGGUAAAUAUCUAAAAGUGGAAUUUAUGGGUCACAGAGUGGGCGUUUGUUUAUGAGAAAUUGCCAGAUUGUUUAACAAGGUAAUUGUACCAUUUUACAGUCUCAUUAGCAAUGUGUGAGAGUUCCUGUUGCUCCAUAUUCUCAACAAUAUUUAGCAUGGUUAGUCUUUUUAAUUUUAGCCACUCAGGUGGUGGUAUUUAGUGGCAUCUCAUUGUUCUUUCAAGUUGAAUUCCCCUAAUAAUUCAUUUGCAUUUUCCUGGUGAAAAAUUAUCUUGAAUACUUCAUGUACCUAGUGGCCAUCUAUUAAUCUUACUUUGUGCAUUACCUAUGCAAGUCUUUUGUCUAUGUUUUAAUUUGAUACCUGCCUUUUUAUUAUUGACUUGUACAAUGUGUUUAUAUGAGUACAAAUAAUUUAUCAGAUGUAUGUAUUGUAAAUGUUUUCCAAAUUAUGGCUCUUCUCUUCCGUCUGAUGAGCAGAAGCUUUUAACUUUGAUGAAAUCUUUUUGUCAUUCUUUUUUCUUUUAUGGUUUUUUUGUUUUAUGGCUUACAAUUUCAUUCGUAAGGUCUUCUGUUUAAGAAAUCUUUGCCAAUCCUGAGAUUAUAAAAUACUCUUUUAUAUUUUCCUCUAGAAGCUUUAUAGUUUUAGCUUUUAAACUUAGAUUGAUAAUCCAUCUCAUAUUAAAUUUUUUGUAUGGAAGGAGGUAUAGGUUAAGAAACAACUUUUAUAUGUAGCCUGUUAUUCUGGUAGCAUUUAUUGGAGAGACCUUUACUUCUUAGAUUGUUUUGGCAAUUUGAUUGAAAUUAAUUAUAUAAGGGUAGAUCUAUUGCUGAUCUAUUCUGUUUCAUUGAUCUUUUUGUUUAUCUUCAUUUCAGUAAUACAUGCUCUUGAUUAUUGUCACUUUAUAAUAAGUCUUGAAAUUAGGAAAUGUAUAUCUUGUUUUUCAAGAAAUAGCAUGUAGAUGCUUACCAGAACAAAAUCCUGCUAGGAUUUAUAUAAAAUUUGGAAGAAUUGACUUUAUAAAAAUUGAAGCUUCCAAUCCAUGAUAUGAUGUCUCCUCAUUUAUUUAGCUUUUCUUUAGUUACGUUCAGCAA
rnacentral:lncRNA from 10 species